AGGGACAAUUGAAUGGUUGAUCACAAGCCUUGACUGUUGUAGUUGAAAUAGCAAGAGUGAGCACGUACGUAUUCAACAAAUAUAACAUGGGGUUAUGAGGCUCAAAAGGGUAGACACUGGUUCACUGCAUUAGCUUUUAAUAGUAAGUCAAACUUUUUAGCAAUUAAAUAUAAUAGCAGCAUGCUAUGCUUAACCCCAUUAACCCAUAUAGUUAUUAUUAUAAAUGAAUCAUUCUCAUCACAAUCCAUCAUCAUCCAGUAACCACCAUAAUCUUGAAUCCAUGUCUCAUUCAUCAUAGCCUCUGUCCAUAUCUCUAUUCUGCAAGACGUCCAAGGCCGCUCGUGACCUUGAGCAAGGCUAGUAUACUAGUUUUAAAACACUCUACAGAGGUUGCGUAUCUUUACUCGUGGGCCAUGAUUUACCCUUUCUCCUGAGGUAACUACCUCCCACAACAAGAGAUAACUAGCCUCUUAACCCACUCUGAGGUAGACCGGCAGGGUUCACUAAGAAGUCUUUCAAAAGGCUUCCAAACAUAUUAACAGUCAAUCUAGAUUCAGGGGCAAGGGAUAUUAAAUCCUAUCUAAGUGGCACAUACCACAGCUAUACACACAAAGAUCUAGGGUUAAUACCGACUCGUCAAAGAGCUCCGGAUUAAAAGCCAAUAUGAAAGAAAGUAUCUUCAUACUUAACUAAUACCAGAGCCAUAUAGCCCCCACGGUAGCACUGUCAAUCCCGGAUUUCACUUAUAGAUAAGUCCUUAAGGAGAGGAAUACUAGAACAAAAGUCUAGCCCCCUUGAAUCCAAAUUGUUAAACAUCAUCUUGGGAUCAUCAUUUCAUGUAGCCAUCAUUCAAUGUAACUAGUAUUUCAUAUUCAAAUCAUAUUACUUUAAUUCAAACACUUGCAAUAACUACCCAUAUGCAAUUUAACCCAAUAGGUAUCAAGGCACAAGAUAAACAAUAUCUAGGAUGUCCUUAAGGUAACAAAUUAGACACAUGCAAUAUGAAUUAUGAUGGUUAAAAGUGAAUAGGUAACAAGGAUAGUCCCAUGUUAUACUUGCCUUUGACUUGAGAUCCUUCUUCUAUAGAUGACAACCUUCAAAUACUCGAUUCUUGAUCACCACAUAAUUCUCAUCGACUUGACACGAUCAUAAAAUACCACACAAGCAUACCAGACAAGCACAUGCAUAGCAUACACAUAUUCAUCUAAAUUAGAAUAGUACAACAAUCAAUGAAAACACAAGAUGAAAAGAUCAUAAAACUAAUCUACGCAUCACUACGAUCACGUGGAUAGGUCGUUCACUCAAAACGGAGCUACGGUUGAAAAGAAAUGAUUUUCCUAAGAUUUUCCUUUAUAAGAUAAAUCAAAAGAACACUAUAAACUUUAUCAUAUAAACUAUUUUAGAGAAUAUUCAGAUUAGAUUAAUGAGAUUUAAACUUGAACAAGUGAAAACUAAUUAAGAUUUUAUUUACAACAAAUCAUAGAUCAAAUUCUAAUAUUAACUUUAAGAUGACAUUCUAUUGCAUAUAUUAAUCAUUUAAUAUCUAACUUACAAACUUUAGGAACAUGUGACAAGGACUAAACAAAAGCAUUUACAUCUUAAAGUGGAACUAAACAUGUUAUAAUCAAAAAGACAUGAAUAUUAAUAUUAAUCUUAAUAAUUAUCUAGGUUAAUUUUAAUUAUAAACCCUAUUUCAUAAAGCAUUAAUCAAACUACUAUUAACCAAUAAAUUUAUAACGGAGUAGCAUGAUAAACAUUAACAUUAACACUUAGAGCACGAUGACACAAAUCCAACACAAGUUGAAUCGCCCAAAACGAAGUUAAAAGGAAUAAACUAUGAAUUAAACAAGAUUUCCUAUCCAAAAGUAAUUAGAGUUUAAACCUAAUUAUGAAUUUCAAACUAAACUUCAUCAAAAUUAUUCAAAAAUAGUUUACUUAGCUAGAUUAUUAAAUUAUGAAUCUAACGCAACUUGAACGGAUCAAAUCGGAACUAAAACGUAAAAGUUAUAGUCGUUUAAAGUCAAGUGGCAAAACUGUAAAUAACCCGAAGAUUUAUCAAAUAAAAUAAAUCCGGAAAUCAGAUUAAAUCCCGGAAUAUGCUUUCCUUAAGGGAAAACGUAUUUUCCUCCUACAGAGAGCCGGUUUACGCUUUCACCUAAUGAAAACAUAUUUUUCCGGAUGCCUUGGACCGCGGGUUAAAACCUAGAAACUUUGGGGGCUCUUUAUGAAGAAAACUAGGGGGUUAUAUGAAAACUGUCUUACGAACCGAUAUCAUCCAUUCUAGGUCGUUGAUCCGCGAUCGUGUGGCUCGGGUGUUUUAGGAACGUCAUCCCUUUCAAUGACGGUGAGGAAACGGUGGUGCCCAUCGUCAGCGGUGGUGAACCCGCCAGAAAAAUCCUGAUCUACCGCUGCCGCUCACUAAUCAAUGUCGGAUCUUGACUAGGAGCGAGAGGAAGGCUAGGGCUCUUUACCUGACUAGAUAAGCACGACGCGGAAGACUUGUUGACAGCUGAAGACGGCAUACGGCGGAAAUCCGGCACUGUAAACUGGAAGAGGACCAACCAGUGCCCAAAAUUUCUGAUUACCCGAGGGAAAAACUCCCUGAGAUUCUUGUGCAACUCGCGAACUGGCUCACAAGAGUACCAAUGCUCUGAUCUCGACGAAUUAGAUUCGGUGGCGGGCAAAACUCGUGGUAGCUCGCGGAUUCGACGAACAUGGCACGGAAACAAGAGCUAGCACUAGAUACGAGUUGCGUAAGGUUCUGCGGGGGGCCUGGUUGUUAGCGGUACUACAUCUUCUGCUACUGGGACCAUUGUGGCGCAACGGAUUAGCAGGCCGACCAAGAAAUCUACAAAGGUGUAUGGGCCGGAUUGGGUGAAUGGGCUGCAGCUGUGCUCGCUUUGCGAAUAAGUAGAACGAGGGUUGCCUCGUGAAGGGCAUGUAAGAAUUAUUCACUACAACUUCUUCUCCAAGUUCUACUGCUCGUUCGCCGCCACUCUUCUUCCUCCUUACCCUCUGCUACUCUUAAUCGUCCUCUGCUACUCUUUAUUGCUGUUCUCUUCUACUGCUACCUUGUAUCCAUACCGAGUUGCUAACAGUGGUAUCAGAUUCAACGAUCCUUGGCCGAUCCUCGCGUUCUCGCGCUGGAUCCUUCUGGUGUUCAUUCCCAUUUCACUCGUUUUCGCCGUCAGCAAGUUCUCAUGAAUCCAUAUACUCAGAUCAUCUUGGACGAGAUCGCUCGCCGAUUCGCUGAUCAUGAUGCCAAAUGGGAUCAGCGCGCGUCGGAGCAAGAAUCUUGCUGGGAGGCGGUGUUCUCUGAUUUUGCCAAAAACCAGAGCGAUCGUGUCGGGGCGCUCGAGAAAGCCUCCGGUGCGUUCGACGAAUGGCGUGUGGGGAUGGAAGGUGUCGUGGAUGAUCUGCGCUUGGAGGUGGGCAAGAUUGCGCGUCAUUGGGAGCGGGCUGUCAUGGACAAACCGACCUCCAUGGUUGGGGUACUCGCGCCUUCCCCUGCGGCUGCCGAGCACACAACAGCCGGAUCUCCUACCAACUCGCCCCAUGGGCACCGCGUCGAACUUCAUUCCCGGGAGGAUGAGUUUGGGUCGGUCACCACCCUUAUUCAUCCCCCGGUCAAGGGUAUGUGCCAGUCCUUGCCUUCGGUUCUCCCAAUUCCUCGAAUUGAGUCGAAACCAAUUGAGAUGUCUAGUGCACGUUUGGAACAAGCGCCUGCGGGUGGUUUUGGCGGGGCUGUUCGGAGUCGUUUGCCUCAAUUGAAUUUUCCAUCAUUUGACGGGGAAAAUCCUAAAUUAUGGAUCCGUCGGGCGCAUGAUUAUUUUGAUAUGUAUAGCGUUGAACCCCAUUUAUGGAUCAAGGUGGCUUCGAUGCACCUGUUGGGAGCUGCGGGUCGUUGGUUUUCUUACUUGGAUGAUAGGGGUCAGGAUCUGCCAUGGUCUGAAUUUUGUCAAACUUUGCUAGAACGAUUUGGAAAAGAUGAAUAUGAACUUUUCAUUCGUAAACUGUUCAAGGUUAGGCAGCUCAACACGGUAUCUGAUUAUGUGGAGCAGUUUACGUCCAUUGUUGAUAAUCUUCGUGCAUAUGGUCGACGUAUGGACCCCAUGUACUUUGUGCAACGCUUUGUGGACGGGUUACGUGAGGAUAUUCGUGCUGCUGUUUUUGUCCAACGACCCACUUCCUUGGAUACUGCUGCCGUUAUCGCAUUGUUGCAGGAGGAAGUUGCUGGCACCACGAGGCGAAUGGAGGUUCGUCGGUCGGAUGUCGUGCCGAGCAGGCUGUUUGGCAAGGGACCAUUGCCACUGCCCUUGCCUCCACGACCAGCGCAGCAAGUGACGGUGACUGAAGACAACAAACAUGAUGAGGUUCCUCGUCAGCGUGGGAUGGAUGAUAAGUUGGCUGCAUUACGUGCUUACAGGCGAGCAAAGGGAUUGUGUCAGCGUUGUGCGGAGAAAUGGUCGCGAGAUCAUCAGUGUCCGCCGACUGUGCAGCUUCAAGCAUUGCAGGAAGUCUGGGAUUUAUAUCAGUGUGAAGAUGAUGACAGUUUCACCCCACCGGAAACGGCUCAUUCUGGGGAGGAGCAGUUAUUUCUCGCAGUUUCAGUAGCUGCAGUUCAGGGCAGGAAGUCUUCUCAUACUAUGAAAUUCAGUGGCAUAAUUCAAGGAAAAGAGGUAUUGAUUUUAAUUGAUUCUGGUAGCUCUCAUUCGUUUGUCUCAACUACAUUGGCAGUUCAGCUUACUGGCGUGUUACCCAUGACGCGUCCAGUUUCUGUUCAAGUAGCAGACGGUGGGCGUAUCCAUUGCUCACAACAAUUGUUGGCAACUCAGUGGUCCGUGCAACAGUGUGUGUUUACAACGGAUUUUCGUGUGCUGGAUAUCUCUACAUAUGACUUAAUUGUGGGUAUGGAUUGGUUAUCAGCACAUAGUCCCAUGAAAGUACAUUGGUUACAAAAGUGGAUGAUUAUACCAUACCAGGGCUCUUCGGUAUUGUUACAUGGGUUAUCUGCAAGUGUUCCACCUGGGUCUGUUGUCGAGGUAUCUGUAGUACAGUCUGUGCCUCCUUCUUUUGCAGAGCUGGGGUUGCCUGAGUCCUUUGUAAAUUUAUUGAAGGAGUUUGCCGUGGUGUUUGCUCCUCCUACUGGGCUGCCUCCAUCACGGGAUUGUGAUCAUGCGAUUCCUUUGGUACCAGGUGCUACACCUUUUCAAGUUAGGCCCUAUCGCUAUCCUCCAGCCAUUAAAGAUGAAAUUGAAAAUCAGAUUACUGUUAUGCUACAGUCAGGCAUUAUUAAACCCAGUACCAGCCCCUUUUCUUCUUCUGUCUUGCUGGUCAAGAAGAAGGAUCAGUCGUGGCGUUUUUGUGUGGAUUUUAGACAUUUAAAUGCUAUCACAGUCAAGUCCACCUAUCCAGUUCCAGUGAUUGAAGAAUUACUUGAUGAGCUUGGCCAUGCUUCUUGGUUCACAAGCUUGGAUUUAACAGCCGGAUAUCAUCAAAUUCUUCUUCAGUCAGCAGAUACACAUAAAACGGCAUUUCAAACCCAUUCUGGCCACUACGAGUUCAAGGUGAUGGCGUUUGGUUUAACUGGAGCACCAGCUACAUUUCAACGAGCUAUGAAUGUUACGCUGGCCCCCUUGCUUCGUCGUUGUGUGCUAGUCUUUUUCGAUGACAUUCUCAUUUAUAGUGAGGAUUUUGAGCAGCACCUAAACCAUGUGAGGCUUGUGUUGGAGUUGCUUCUCAAAGACAGUUGGCAAAUCAAGCUGUCCAAAUGCUCUUUUGCCCAGAAUCAGUUGACUUAUUUGGGACACGUGAUAUCUGCAUCAGGUGUUGCCACAGAUCCAACUAAGAUCCAAGCUGUGGCUAAUUGGUCUUCUCCUACUUCCAUUAAGGAUCUACGAAGUUUCUUAGGCCUAGCAGGUUAUUAUAGGCGUUUUGUCAGAAAUUUUGGAUUACUUGCAAAACCCCUGACCUCUUUAUUGAAAAAAGGGACAGUGUUCGUAUGGACAGCAGCUCAUGAAUCGACGUUUCAGGCAUUGAAAACAGCCCUGGUGUCUGCCCCAGUGUUAGCAUUACCUGAUUUUUCCAAGCCAUUUUGCCUUGAGACAGAUGCAAGUAAACUGGGCAUUGGUGCUGUGUUAAUGCAGGAUGGGCACCCCAUUGCAUAUUUGAGUAAGGCUCUUGGUCCUAAAUCUCAGGGGUUGUCCACUUAUGAGAAGGAAUACCUAGCCAUCUUGACUGCUGUUGAUCACUGGCGCCACUACCUGCAGUUGAAAGAAUUCCAGAUCUUUACGGACCAUCGCAGUCUUGCUCACCUUGACGAACACAGACUGCACACCCCGUGGCAGAAGAAGAUGUUUACUAGACUGUUGGGGCUGCAAUAUCGCAUUGUUUUUAAAAAGGGAGUGAUAAUAGUGCAGCUGAUGCCUUAUCUCGCCAUCCGAAUGUGGAGUCUUCCUGUUUGGCAAUAUCUUCGUGUACUCCUAAAUGGGUGGCAGAGAUUGCAGAUUCUUAUUCGCAAGAUUCAGCGACUACUGAUAUAAUCGCUAAACUUGUUGUUGAUGCCUCGGCGGUGCCCAACUUUUCUUGGCAAGAUGGGCUGUUGCGUUACAAGAACAGAAUCUGGGUCGGUCCUUCAUCUGAACUUCAGCAUAAACUUUUGACUGCUUUUCAUUCGUCCGCAGUUGGUGGUCAUUCUGGCAUUCCAGUUACGUAUGCUCGUAUUAAACAGCUGUUUGCAUGGAAAGGGUUGAAGCAGGCAGUCCAAGAUUUUGUCCGUCAAUGUGUCAUUUGCCAGCAAGCCAAAUCUGACCGUUCACGGUUGCCAGGACUGUUACAACCAUUGCCAGUUCCAACAUCUUUGUGGCAGAUAAUUUCUAUGGAUUUCAUCGUGGCGUUGCCCAAAUCUCAAACUUAUACAUGUAUUCUGGUGGUCGUAGAUGUCUUUACCAAAUAUGCAAAUUUCUUGCCACUGAAACACCCAUUCACUGCACUGUCAGUAGCUCGUCUAUUUCAUGAUCAGAUCUAUAAGCAUCAUGGCCUUCCACAGUCGAUUAUUUCUGAUCGUGACAGUGUAUUUCUCAGUCAUCUCUGGCAAGAGCUGUUUCGUUUGGCUGAUGUGAAGUUGUGUAUGAGCUCCGCCUACCAUCCGCAGUCAGACGGUCAAACCGAAAGAGUUAAUCAAUGUGUGGAGACAUUUCUGCGUUGCUUUGUUCAUGCGUGCCCAAAGCAGUGGAGUAAGUGGUUAUCUGUUGCUCAGUUUUGGUUUAAUUCCUCCCCACAUUCAGCUACUGGUCUUUCACCUUACGAAGCUCUGUAUGGGUGCCGGCCACGUUAGUUUGGCAUCUCAGAGAAGGACAAUAUUCAGUCCACUGAUUUGGCGUCGUGGUUGCAUGAGAGGCAAUUGAUGUCCGAACUGAUCCGACAACAUUUGGAACGGGCUAAACUCAGAAUGAAGAAGCAGGCCGACAAAGGUCGUUCUGAACGGGAGUUUGCAGUUGGCGACUGGGUGUUCCUCAAGCUCCAGCCAUAUGUGCAGUCGUCCCUGGCAGUUCGUGCUCAUCAGAAGCUGGCAUUCAAAUUCUUUGGGCCUUUUCAAGUACUACAACGUAUUGGUUCCGUGGCAUAUAAGUUGCAGCUGCCUGAUUCCUCUCGCAUUCACCCAGUCUUUCAUGUUUCUCAGCUUAAAAAGGCUCUGGGUAGUGGGUUCAAUGUUUCACCGGCGUUGCCUACUGAUGCUUAUGGUUUCAGUGUCCCUGGCAAAAUUUUGAAACGUCGUACUGUCAUGAGAGGGAACAAUGCUUGUGAUCAAGUUUUGGUGCAAUGGUCGUUCAUGCCAGCUGAAUUGGCCACUUGGGAGGAUGUGCAUGAAUUGAAGCAACAAUUUCCAAAGGCCGCUGUUUGGGGGCAAUCAGCGUUUUCAGCAAGGGGGACUGUUAGCGGUACUACAUCUUCUGCUACUGGGACCAUUGUGGCGCAACGGAUUAGCAGGCCGACCAAGAAAUCUACAAAGGUGUAUGGGCCGGAUUGGGUGAAUGGGCUGCAGCUGUGCUCGCUUUGCGAAUAAGUAGAACGAGAGUUGCCUCGUGAAGGGCAUGUAAGAAUUAUUCACUACAACUUCUUCUCCAAGUUCUACUGCUCGUUCGCCGCCACUCUUCUUCCUCCUUACCCUCCGCUACUCUUAAUCGUCCUCUGCUACUCUUUAUUGUUGUUCUCUUCUACUGCUACCUUGUAUCCAUACCGAGUUGCUAACACUGGUCCUCAUUUUAUAGUCCGUCCUGACGUGGGAAGCACGCGGGGGAAGGAGUCCAGCGGAGGAACGCCAUCAGACAGUGUCCGAUCCGAACUCUAGCAUGAGGAAGAGGAAGAAGCUGACAGCGCGGGCCCGGUUGUCAGUGGAAGCAAGGCACGACCCACUUGUCGGUGGUCGAGACAGAAGAGGGAGUGCGCGCUUUCAGCAAAAACAGGCUACGCGAUACUGGGCCUCAAGCUGCUGGGCUACGGCCGCGGACCGCUAGAGCUGACCACACGCUUCACCAGGCUUAGCACGGAGAGAAAAGAAGAGAUGGGCUGCGUUUUGGUGUGGAGCUGGGCUGUAGAAACAACUUCACUGGAAGACUGCGCGUAAAGAGGAUGGGGAAGCAGGCCGCGGCUUUGGGCUUCCAGGUAAGCUUUAGUUUUCCUUUCAUUUUUAUUUUCUGUUUUCAAAUCCAUUUCCUAAAUUCAAAUUCAAAUCUAAUUUGAAUUCAAAUUUCCUCGCAACAAAUCAAUACAAAAAUAAUGCUCCAACAUGAAUGCAUCAAACGAUAUUUUUAUAAAAUAUUUUUAUUACCAAAAAUAUUAUUUAUCCCAUAUAGAAAAUAAUAACUAAUUCCUAUUAAAUCUAAAUAAAUUCAUAUUUGGUUUAUUAAAUUCUAGAAAAUUAGUUUUUCAAAAUUAGGCAAAUUUUAGUAGGGGUGUAAACGAAUAUCCGAAUUGUUAGGACAGAUUUAAUAUUUUAAAAUAGAUAUUUAUGAAAUUUGAUGUUAAUCUCUUCUUAUGUUAUGAAGCACAUUAUUAUAAAUAAGAAUAAAAUUUUGUAUAAAUUGUUUUAUACAUUAUUUGCUACUUACAACCAAAAAGGUGAAAACAUAUCCGUAUUCGAUUUGUAUCCGAAAUUUAUAUCUAUUAUUUGAGAAGAUAUAUAAUAAAUUUGAGUUUUAUCUUUCAUGAAUCUUUACAAGCUCAAUGCUAAAAACAAGAAUAUAAAUUUGCAUAGCAGGUUCUAUAUUCUAUUAAUUCACAAUCGAAGAAAAAAGACCAAAAAACUGAUAUCCGAAUAAGUAUCUGUUUGCACCCCUAAAUUUUAGGGUGUUACAAAUCUACCCCCUUAAAGGAAUCUCGUCCCGAGAUUCAAGAAGAAGAGAAUUAGAAAGAUAAGGAUAGAUCUUCUUCACUAACUUGGGUAGCUCAUUCUUGAAACCACUUCAAUAUUCCUUGCAGAUAUUACAUCCUUGAUUCAAUUAACUCCAUCCAAUUUUUCCAACACUUUAGUAGAUACCACUUUAGUGGAUACACAUGUGGUCAAAUCCUUUGUUGUGAGAUGAGUUUUGUGUAACUAAGGAUCUAACCCCUUAUAUAAUCCAUAAAUCUUCUCAGGAAUUCCAAAGUUAGGCCAAAUCUUUUCCAAAAGAUAUUUACCCAUUUCUUGUUCUAAGUAGCUCGCACUAAUAACAACAUUAUCUUUGGAUGUUGAUCCCUUAAGUAGUAACUGCCUAUCUUUUAAUCCUUGCCUCCUUGGUAACAACACCUCCCUUAGGAUGAGAAUCCUGGUUUGACUCCAAUGAUCAUGUUGAUAGCUCAAUCCCAACUUAGUUAAGUUCUCCUUUAGGUUCUCAUAAUCCAUGUAGAUGUUACUCUUAUAAUCCAUGCUAAUGUCUCACUUAUAUCUAAUAGAAUCAUAUUUCCAAGUUCUGACAAUACGAACUGGUCAUUCCAAAUCCUUGUACUUACUAGGUAAACCCAACUUGCUUUGGUUAAUCUGAUGCUAGACCAUCACCUCCGUCUUCAUGCAAAGACACAUUCCAAACCAAGACAAUGUGCAUAACACUAGAUAAUCAACUCUUGCAUUCCACUAAGCUGAACACGUAGGUUUUACUUCAACCUUUCAUUAACUCCUUUAAACUUAUCCAAAAACUAUUUGUUGCAACAUACUUGAUACCUUCUCCAAUAAUCCCACAACACAUCUUAGUAUCCAUGGAACUCCAAGUUUACUUUAUCCAAGAGAGAACUUCCUUCAACCAAAGUCCAAUUAUCAAGCUAGGUAUAGUAUGGAUGCUUCUAAUUCUUCAUAAAACAAACUUAGAGAUAUCAAGUAUCUACUUGCAUCAAAAUAUCUCCUUGUCCAAAGUAUGUGGAAAAUUGAACUCUCUUAUGAUAAUAUCUUGAAUUGAAGACCAAUCUUGAUGAAACCAUAACUUCCUUGUGGUUGAUCCCACUAGCUAACAAACUUUGAAUAAACAUUCCUAACCUUGAUAGUAGAUUCUAAGCCAUAGGGAUUUCCAUCAUCUCCAAUAGAAACCAUACAUAACUUUCUUAGCUGUAUAUGUGAUAAACUUAUUCCCAUGGUUCAAACCUGCUGGUGUAGUCUUAUUUUGCUAACUUCCUUGGAUCUGUUCCUUUAUGAACACUCUGUUCUCACUCCAGUUAUUGUUGACUCAGGCUUUGAUUCUCCUCCGCAAUCUUACAGUACCACUAUUAGUGUAAUGUUCCAAUAUCACCAAUAUCAUAACACCCUUCACUUAGUAAGGGUAUUAUGAGUCUUCUUCCAUAUAAGGACCAUAUUUAAUUCCUAUAGUGGUGAGGCUUGAUUCUCAUAUUGCUACUCUUGUUGCUGAAGCUAUAGCUGAGAUGAAUUUAGAUCUUCUUGGCAAUUGGUUUCAUGUACCGGUGCUUGCUCCAAAGCUUAUAAAAUUUGGUCAAGGUGGAUCAGAAUUGGUAUUACUCCUUAGACACCAAGUAAGUCACUUCUCCAAAUAGCAACCAUCUUGUUUCCAAUAUGUUGGACUUAAGGUGUAACUAUUCUUAUCACUCUUAAUGGUAGACUAGUAAGAAAUAGCAGAGAACUCAUCUAGGUAGACAAGCUUGGGCUUGGCUACCCCCCUUGAAAGAAAAGAGGGAAACUAGGGAACCAAAGGGUAGCAGACUCUUUCUUCUAAUGUUGAUUAGCUAUCCGCAUGACCUUCUUAGAUUCCAACAAACUCACUUGGUAUGGUCUUGUCAUUUUCAUACUCUUAAUCCAACGUAACUAUCAAGGUGACUCUUAUUUCCAAAAUAUUUUCUUCCAUAAAUUCUUCAUCUUCCAUUGACUAAGGUAAGAUUAGGAAUUGCUUCAAUGGGAAAAGAUAGAAGGAACAAGAAAGAAGAGAAAGAAAGAAUAAGAGAGAAGAGAAACCCAACUAUCUAUUCCAUUAUCUUUAAACUUUAACUAAAUGAAAUUGUGGACAAACUCCACAAAAUCAUUGCACUCGUUACAAAGAUCCAAAUCAAUCAUAUGCACAAAGCAAUAAAUCAAGCAUUCAGGGUUCAUAAAGCACACAGACCCAACUAGACUUCGUUACUAACGAUAUAAUUACAUAGGGGACAUAAACUCUUAGCUCAUAAACACGGUAUGAGUAUAAAUCUUAUGGGCAAGAGUAAACCAAGUGCCCUUCCUUGAUACUAUCCAAUUAUGUAGACAGAAGUUAGACAGAGAGAAUUUAAACAGAGGCAAGGUUUCAUGAUUAGUGAAAGUCGCCUAGAGGGGGGGUAGAUAGGCGAAGCCUGAAAAUUAAAACUUUAUCCCCCAACUAGAUCCUUUGAUUAGUGGUUAGAACAAGAAAUAUGAUUAUCGGAGUAUAAGAACUAAGUCCUUUGCUUGUAACCAAGGUUGCUUUGAAAUAAUGCGGAAUUGAUAAACAAUACAACUACUAGAUAUAUGGAUAGUAGAGCAAGAAGGCUUAGAUGAGAAGAGCAAUAAGUAAAGUUCUUUCUUGCGAAGGGUUGCUCCACCAAAUGAGUAUUUAACUUGAAGCAACACCAAAAUAUGUUAGCGAGGAAUGGCGCAAGAAAACUUAGAGAAAGGAAAGCAAACAAAUCACAAGCAAGAAACACAAUGAACACGGGUGAUUUGUUUUACCGAGGUUCGGCCCUCGAAGGCCUAGUCCCCGUUGAGGAGUCCACUCAAGGACGGGUCUUUUUCAACCCUUUCCCUCUCUCCACCGAUCACACAAGGAUCGAUGAGCUCUUCUUCUUCUCAAGGAUCACUCUCGAUCCCGCAAGGACCACCACACUCUUUGGUGUCUCUUGCUAGCUUUUACAAGCCUCCAACACUUUGGAGGAAGUUUGAAUGGGAGUCAAAACUCCACGCGCAAAUGAACACAAGGAUGAAGCACACACUUAUCUCUCAAUGUAUCUCACAAGGCACUAGGGCUAAACUCAAUUGAGUAGCUCUCAAUUGCUUGCUCUCUCUUUUGUGGCACUUGUGUUGGUUGUAGUGGGCUAGAUCUUGUGUAUAGGAUGUAUCAAUGAAUAUAGGUGGUGGGGAGGGCUUGAGUAUGUCAACUAGAUGACUUGGAAUGUUGCUUGGACUCCCACACCUUGAAGUGGCCGGUUGGGGUGGUAUUUAUAGCCACCAUCCAAUUUUGUAGCCGUUGGAGAAGCUGCUGGCGAUGGGCGCACCGGACAGUCCGGUGCACACCGGACAUGUCCGGUGCGCCAGCCACGUCAUCCUAUCCGUUGAGAUUGGAGUUGGUCGACCGUUGGAGGCUUUGUCCUCAUGUGGCACCGGACAGUCCGGUGCAGCACUGGACAGUCCGGUGCCCCUCUGAUCUUCUGCUCUGACUUCUGCCGCGUGUACUGUUCAGCACUGUUCUCUGUCAGAGUCGACCGUUGGCGCGAAGUAGCCGUUGCUCCGCUGGUGCACCGGACAGUCCGGUGUACACCGGACAGUCCGGUGAAUUUUAGCGGAGCGGCCUCCCAUUUUCCCGAAGCUGGCUAGUUCAGAGCCGCUUCACUCUGGAGCACCGGACACUGUCCGGUGGUGCACCGGACAGUCCGGUGAAUUAUAGUGGGCUGCGCCUGAGAAACCCGAAGGUGAAGAGUUUGAAGGCAAUCCUCCCUGGUGCACCGGACACUGUCCGGUGUCACACCGGACAGUCCGGUGCGCCAUACCAGGGAGCACUUCGGUUUCUCUUUGCUCCUUUCUUUUGAAAUGUCUUGUUCUUUUUAUUGGUUUUGAGUUGAAUCUUUGGCACCUGUAGAACAUGUAAUCCAGAGCAAACUAAUUAGUCCAAUUGUUUGUGUUGGACAUUCAACCACCAAAAUCAUUUAGGAAAAGGUUUUAAAGCCUAUUUCCCUUUCAAUCUCCCCCUUUUUGGUGAUUGAUGCCAACACAAACCAAAGCAAAUAUAUGAGAGAAUAAUUGAACUAGUUUGCAUAAGAUAGGUGCAAAGAUUGCUUUGGAAUUAAACCAAUAUUCAUUUCAUAAGAUAUGCAUGGAUGCUUUUCUUUAUUUUUAACAUUUUGGACCAUGCUUGCGCCACAAGUUGGAAAUUCUUUUACAAAGUCUUUUGUAAAUAGUCAAAGGUAAAUGAAUAAUAAUUUUGAGAAGCAUUCAUAAGAUUUGAAAAUUUCUCCCCCUGUUUCAAAUGCUUUUCCUUUGACUAAACAAAAUUCCCCCUAGAUUAAAUCCUUCUCUUAGUGUUCAAGAGGGUUUUAAGAUAUUGAUUUUGAAAUACUACUUUCUCCCCCUUUUGAACACAAUAAGAUACCAAUUUGAAAUUUUCAACUGAAACUCAUUUAAAAUUAGGUGGUGGUGCGGUCCUUUUGCUUUGGGCUAACAUUCUCUCCCCCUUUGGCAUGAAUCGCCAAAAACGGAUACAUAUGAGUGAAAUAUAAGCCCCUUUCUAUAAGUUGUCUCCCCCUUUGGCAAAUAAUAUAUGAGUGAAAGAUUAUACCAAUGUGGAGAGCUAGUGUGGAGUGAUGGCGAAGGAUAAAUAGUACCGAUAGAGUUGAGUGGAAGCCUUGUCUUCGCCGAAGACUCCAUUUCCCUUUCAAUCUAUGACUUAGUAUAGAAAUAUACUUGGAAACAUAUUAGUCAUAGUCAUGGUACGAGAAUAAUAAGAUAUAUGCAUUUGUACCAAAAUGAAAGAGAUAUGAUCAAAAGAUAUGUCAAUUAAGCAUGAUCAUAG
rnacentral:lncRNA from 1 species